AGAGUUUGAUCCUGGCUCAGAGCGAACGCUGGCGGCAGGCCUAAUACAUGCAAGUCGAGCGGCUUCUUCGGAAGCAGUGGCGGACGGGUGAGUAACGCGUGGGAACGUGCCCUUUGGUACGGGACAACUGGAAGGAAACUUCCAACUUAUUACGGAUGUUGCCUCUUCGGGGGAAAAAUUUAUCGCCAUUGGAGCGGCCCGCGUUAGAUUAGCUAGUUGGUGGGGUAAAGGCCUACCAAGGCAACGAUCUAUAGCUGGUCUGAGAGGAUGAUCAGCCACACUGGGACUGAGACACGGCCCAGACUCCUACGGGAGGCAGCAGUAGGGAAUCUUGCGCAAUGGGCGAAAGCCUGACGCAGCCAUGCCGCGUGAAUGAUGAAGGUCUUAGGAUUGUAAAAUUCUUUCACCGGGGACGAUAAUGACGGUACCCGGAGAAGAAGCUCCGGCUAACUUCGUGCCAGCAGCCGCGGUAAUACGAAGGGGGCUAGCGUUGCUCGGAAUUACUGGGCGUAAAGGGCGCGUAGGCGGAU
rnacentral:rRNA from 1 species